AAGAACUGCUGAGAAACCUUCCUUGGAGAACAGAGACACUGGUGUGCAUCCAUCCCCUGAGGCAAUAUGUUAUACCAGUGCCAGAUCUCCUAUCUUCUGCAUUGGGAAGCAGCAAGCAAUGCCUGGAGUACCUCUCUCUGAUCAGCCUACCUCUACUGAAAAGGAAUAAUACCUACUUGGGGAACCCACAUUUCGACAGGCUAAAGAACAGAAGCAGCUGCAUUCGAAGAAAAACAAGAGUGCUUUUGAGUUGAUGUUUACCUUCCAAAGAAUGGACGUUUCAAAGGCCAAGCUACAGCACUACACAAUUAUCCAUGAGGUAGCAAAAUCACAGGAUAUGACAAGAGAGCUGAUGAAGAUCUGCAAAAUAGGAAAUCCUAUUCUCAUUUUAGAAGCAGAGUUGCAGCAGACAUGGCAGGGGAAAAAGGAAAAGAAGGGCAGCAGGAAGCUUCUUCUUCAAGACUCAGGAAAGAACUGUAAAGGAACUACUUUAAUUAAGAGGCAGUCAGUACGAUGCUUAAGUUAUACCCCAGCUGCAACAAACUGUUCAGGCUUUUUGAGCACUCUGUGGCUUUCCACCUUUGACUUCUUCAUAAAAAUGGUUCUCAACUUUAAGGGGGAAAAAAAAGGAAGAUUUUGAGGGACAACCAAAGCUAUGAAAAAAAAUAAAAUAUUGGGCACCACAAAUUUCAGUGUCUUUUGGAGGUUAACACACUAAUUACAUAUGAAUCAAUUUUCAACAUGAGCUUUAAAUUUCUUUGCUUGGAGAAAUCAGACGUUACUGUAUAUGCUUCUAGACGAGGGGGCAGCUUACCACUUUCAGAAAACUAGUUCUGCAUUUCUUACUAGUUCUGACUUAAGAACUGCAGACUGUCCUCAGAGAACCUUCUUUAAACCUUAAUACAGCUGGCAACGUAGCCUUCCUAAAGGGAUUUCAGAGCAGCUCCAAAAGUUAUCAUAGAUCCUCUUCCCUGAGGUCCUUUAAUCAUUCAAAUUGCCAUUAGAGAUGAACGUUUCUGACAAAAUGAUGAGCAGCAAGAUUUUUCAUAAUAAUUUUCAGCUGUUGUGUUUAGAUUUAGAAUUGUUCACCUGAACAAAAGUAGUUCAACUACAUGGACUACUACAUUAGGUUUAAGGGAAAACACACAAUGCAAUCAUGCUCCAUUAAAAGCUUCCCUAUGGACUUCCAGAAGAAACAUUUCCAGCCAUAUAUUUAUGGUUUGAAAUCUAAGCAGUUUCCUGACAAUCUCAGCAGCACAGAUCGUUCAUAUUGGAAUUAGCAUUCAAAACAUAAGUUGUUGUUAGUUUUCAUUUGAAAAGAAUUACAGUUAAAGAACUCUUUUUCAGGUUGUAAGCAUUGUAUUAUUUUGGAUAAGUAAUUUAAGUUAACAAGGGAAAGAGACUGUAAUAAAGGAUUAACUGCUUUAAAUACAAGUUUAAGCAACACUAGGU